rnacentral:rRNA from 1 species
GAGGAAUAUUGGUCAAUGGGGGCAACCCUGAACCAGCCAAGUCGCGUGAAGGAUGAAGGUCUUAUGGAUUGUAAACUUCUUUUAUACAGGAAUAAAUUGGGGGACGUGUCCCCUUUUGCAUGUACUGUAUGAAUAAGAAUCGGCUAACUCCGUGCCAGCAGCCGCGGUAAUACGGAGGAUCCGAGCGUUAUCCGGAUUUAUUGGGUUUAAAGGGUGCGCAGGCGGGAUGUUAAGUCGGCGGUGAAAUUUUGCAGCUCAACUGUAAAAGUGCCUUCGAUACUGGCUUCCUUGAGUGUGGAUGAAGUAGGCGGAAUUUGUGGUGUAGCGGUGAAAUGCUUAGAUAUCACGAGGAACUCCGAUUGCGCAGGCAGCUUACUAAGCCACAACUGACGCUCAUGCACGAAGGCGUGGGGAUCAAACA